UACGGGGGGGGCAAGCGUUGUUCGGAAUUACUGGGCGUAAAGGGCGCGUAGGCGGCCUGCUAAGUCGGAUGUGAAAUCCCUCGGCUCACCCGAGGAACUGCAUCCGAUACUGGCGGGCUUGAAUCCGGGAGAGGGAUGUGGAAUUCCAGGUGUAGCGGUGAAAUGCGCAGAUAUCGGGAGGAACACCGGUGGCGAAGGCGGAUCUCUGGGCCUUACCUGACGCUCAGGUGCGAAAGCUAGGGGAGCGAACAGG
rnacentral:rRNA from 1 species